CCUACGGGGGGCUGCAGUGAGGAAUAUUGGUCAAUGGGCGAGAGCCUGAACCAGCCAAGUCGCGUGAGGGAGUACUGCCCUAUGGGUUGUAAACCUCUUUUGUCGGGGAGCAAAAGCCGGACGUGUCCGGCUGUGAGAGUACCCGAAGAAAAAGCAUCGGCUAACUCCGUGCCAGCAGCCGCGGUAAUACGGAGGAUGCGAGCGUUAUCCGGAUUUAUUGGGUUUAAAGGGUGCGCAGGCGGAUUUUUAAGUCUGCGUUCAAAUCGUGGGGCUCAACCCCAUCCAGCCGUUGAAACUGGGGGUCUAGAGGGUGCGAGAGGUAUGCGGAAUGCGUGGUGUAGCGGUGAAAUGCAUAGAUAUCACGCAGAACCCCGAUUGCGAAGGCAGCAUACCGGUGCACAACUGACGCUCAGGCACGAAAGCGUGGGUAUCGAACAGGAUUAGAUACCCUUGUAGUC
rnacentral:rRNA from 1 species